AGAAUGUUGAACACCUGCAACCAUGCCUCCUGCUGAUCUCAACCCAUCCUCUCCACCUUUUAAUCUUGAUGACAUACUAAAUGAUGAUGACAUUGAAGAAGUAUCCGAUGACAAGUUAUGCGCGCCCGAUGACUCUGUGGAGGACUUGGAGUGGCUCCCGGCUCUCUUUGGUGACUCGCUGGGCUUCAACUCACCAUCCAAGGGUGCAGACAAGAAGAGAGAGAGAGCUUCGUGAUGCUUUAACUGGUCGGAAAUUGCCCACAAAGCCAAAGACCAGACAGGUCGGAAGAAAGACAUGGUCUCUGGAAACCCAGAGCACCUUCUGCAUGGUUACCUAUUAAAGAAUGGUGCU
rnacentral:lncRNA from 1 species